UCACCCUAAAGUUAAAAAGACAGUAGUUGAGCCAGAUCAAUAAUAUAUAAUUUACCAUGAAUGUAUUAUUUGUUUUCUAUAGCUCUAAGUAUACCGUUGCUGGUUUUAAGGAGGUUCUUAAAGGCAUACCACUUUAUUUUGCUCCUUAUUAAGGGAAUUUAUGGAUAAUUUAACAGCAGGACAAGACAACCAUUAUUUAGGAUAAACAGAUGGUUUUCCAGGCUUUAAAGUUUUGAGCAUCAAACAUAAAGCUGAGGAACUACCUUCCAACAAUCAUCAGUUCCCUCACAGAUGCUUUCUUUCUAAACAAGCCAUACACAUCAAUAGUGAAGAGAGUGCUGGCACUGUUAAAGAUGGAUGUCAAGUCACUCAUCAGAGCAGCCAUCAUCACUGCCAUCAUAAGACCACGAAGUCCUGCAAAGAAAAAUAUAUGAUAAAUUUUAGAUCAGCAAACACCUCACCUGGAAUAACUGAGUCUAACAUAACAAGCAAUAAUCCGAGGUACAUACCUGUGGGCAUUAGUUUUAGCACAAGCUCUGGGUAUGCAAUGUUUGUACAACCAACUUCACUACCACAGAUCUCCAUACACUUCUCUGGUACGCUGCAAGCCACACGAUCUAAAAAAACAAAAAGAGUUUAAUUUCUUUGUCAUUGUCAUUUCAGACAAUUCAGGCCCCUAAUCAAUAAAUUCAUUAAGAUAUGUCUGGCCGUCUUUUAUUAUCAGUUAUCAUGCAUGAACAGCCAUGAACACAAUUAACAUGUAGGUGACUAAAUAUUGGCCAGUCAUGAUGAGUUGACUGUUGGCCGAUUAAUCACCGCCAAUCUGUUGAGUUUCUGUCAGCCAAUGAUGAGGCAGCAAAUCAUUUUUUCAAGUCUUUCUGUAUGUCGGUCGAUGCAUAGACAACUAUUGACCAACAAUCAGCUGAUAUCCAUGAACACUGCUUUUACAUAUAUCUAUACUCAUUUGUAGGUGUUACAGUAUAUGGUACCUGGUGAUAAGACACGGCUGAUCAUUCCUGGCAUGACAAGAGUGAAGAGAGGUUUGUGUUAGGAUGUUAGGUCAAUUCCUACCUGAUCAGCACACCAGUACCAAAUAGAUGCUAUAGUCUGGCCAAAAAUAAAUCCAGCCCAUGGCAUAUCAGAAUGCAGAGGCUCUCUUAGCAUGGUGAAUGAGUC